rnacentral:rRNA from 1 species
AUUGAACGCUAGCGGGAUGCCUUACACAUGCAAGUCGAACGGAGUGGCGAACGGGUGAGUAAUGUAUCGGAACGUGCCCAGUAGCGGGGGAUAACUACGCGAAAGCGUAGCUAAUACCGCAUACUAUUGGAGCGGCCGCUACCGGAUUAGCAAGUUGGGGGGGUAACGGCUUCCCAAGGCGACGAUCCGUAGCUGGUUUGAGAGGACGAACAGCCACACGGGGACUGAGACACUGCCCGGACUCCUACGGGAGGCAGCGGUGGGGAAUUUUGGACAAUGGGGGAAACCCUGAUCCAGCCAUGCCGGGUGUGUGAAGAAGGCCUUCGGGUUGUAAAGCACUUGCAGCGAGGAGGCGUUACUCGCAGAAGAAGCACCGGCUAACUCCGUGCCAGCAGCCGCGGUAAUUC